rnacentral:rRNA from 1 species
GACGGGUGAGUAAUGCAUCGGAACGUGCCCUGAAGUGGGGGAUAACGCAGCGAAAGCUACGCUAAUACCGCAUAUUCUGUGAGCAGGAAAGCAGGGGAUCGCAAGACCUUGCGCUUUGGGAGCGGCCGAUGUCGGAUUAGCUAGUUGGUGGGGUAAAGGCCUACCAAGGCGACGAUCCGUAGCGGGUCUGAGAGGAUGAUCCGCCACACUGGGACUGAGACACGGCCCACACUCCUACGGGAGGCAGCAGUGGGGAAUUUUGGACAAUGGGCGGAAGCCUGAUCCAGCCAUGCCGCGUGAGUGAAGAAGGCCUUCGGGUUGUAAAGCUCUUUCGGCGGGGAAGAAAUUGCUUGGGUUAAUACCCUGAGUAGAUGACGGUACCCGAAUAAGAAGCACCGGCUAACUACGUGCCAGCAGCCGCGGUAAUACGUAGGGUGCGAGCGUUAAUCGGAAUUACUGGGCGUAAAGCGUGCGCAGGCGGUUUUGUAAGUCAGAUGUGAAAUCCCCGGGCUCAACCUGGGAACUGCAUUUGAGACUGCAAGACUGGAGUUUGGCAGACGGGGGUGGAGUUCCACGUGUAGCAGUGAAAUGCGUACAGAUGUGGAGGAACACCGAUGGCGAAGGCAGCCCCCGGGGCCAAUACUGACGCUCAU